GAGGGGCUCGCGGCCUAUCAGCUAGUUGGCGGGGUAACGGCCCACCAAGGCUAUGACGGGUAGCUGGUCUGAGAGGACGACCAGCCACACGGGGACUGAGACACGGCCCCGACUCCUACGGGAGGCAGCAGUGGGGAAUUUUCCGCAAUGGGCGAAAGCCUGACGGAGUGACGCCGCGUGUGGGACGAAGGCCUUCGGGUCGUAAACCACUGUCAGUGGGAAAGAAGGGUGUCGAUGCUAAUACCAUCGGCAUUUGACGGUACCUGCAGAGGAAGCCCCGGCCAACUCUGUGCCAGCAGCCGCGGUAAGACAGAGGGGGCAAGCGUUGCUCGGAAUUACUGGGCGUAAAGGGCGCGUAGGCGGGAUGGCAAGUCGGUCGUGAAAUCCUUCGGCUCAACCGAAGAACGUCGAUCGAUACUGCUGUUCUUGAGGGUUGCAGAGGAGACUGGAAUUCCCGGUGUAGCGGUGAAAUGUGUAGAGAUCGGGAGG
rnacentral:rRNA from 2 species